rnacentral:tRNA from 1 species
CAGAAAAUAGUUUAAUAAAAUAUUAGUUUUGGAGACUAAAGAUGGAAGAUUUUUCUUUUCUGA